rnacentral:rRNA from 1 species
GACGAACGCUGGCGGCGUGCCUAAUACAUGCAAGUCGAGCGAAGUUUUUCUGGUGCUUGCACCGGAAAAACUUAGCGGCGAACGGGUGAGUAACACGUAAAGAACCUGCCUCAUAGACUGGGACAACUAUUGGAAACGAUAGCUAAUACCGGAUAACAGCAUUAACUGCAUGGUUGAUGUUUAAAAGUUGGUUUUGCUAACACUAUGAGAUGGCUUUGCGGUGCAUUAGCUAGUUGGUGGGGUAAAGGCCUACCAAGGCGACGAUGCAUAGCCGACCUGAGAGGGUGAUCGGCCACACUGGGACUGAGACACGGCCCAGACUCCUACGGGAGGCAGCAGUAGGGAAUCUUCCGCAAUGGGCGAAAGCCUGACGGAGCAACGCCGCGUGAGUGAAGAAGGAUUUCGGUUCGUAAAGCUCUGUUGUUAGGGAAGAAUGAU